GGACAGGGAAACCUGGCGUGCUGCGGUUCAUGGGGUUGCAAAGAGUCGGACACGACUGAGUGACUGAACUGAGGAAGCUUGAAUGAACAUUUCUGCAAUAAUCUGGCAAUUCUGCAUAUAUAUAUACAUACAUACUCAUGCUUACAUAUACCUUAGCAUUGUUUAUUGAUCUGUUUUGACAAUAACAUAAAUCAGAAUUUCAGGAAACAAGCUUUACUGUGUAUUGCACACUUUGAUUCACCUCUGUGCCUUACUACUUCUUCCCUUUUACCUUUACUCCUCACCUACGACUUUGACCUACUAGUGUGAUUUUAUUGGUGGGUUCUAAGCUGUAGUUUGAAAGACAUUCCCUUAAAAAAACUCACAUAUAAGUGCAAUAGGGAUGUUCAUACCAGUAUCAUUUGUAAAAGUGAAACACUGGAAGCAGUCUUAAGCUCUUAAUAAAUGGAGAGUGGACAAGUAAACUGUGGUAUAUUUCAUAUAAGGUGAAGAAGAAUGUGUAAAGUAUUAAGUUUUUAUGAAGCUUAAAAAUACAGAGCAAUACUAUGUACAGUUUUUUGGGUGUAUACAUAUAUAAAAUAUAUAAGGAAAUUCGUGGUAAUGAUAGACACCAAACUUAGAUUAUCUCUAGGAGGGAAAGAAAGGUAUUCUGUUAUGUAGGUAACGAUUUUUCUUCAGCUGAGGGGUAGAGACAUAGGUGUUUGUUAAAUGGUAUCCUACACUCCUUUGUAUGUCUAAAAUAUUUCACAAUAAAUUUUUUGAAAAGGGAGAUAGUGAUAUUGACAGAUUGAGAUUUCUUUCAGGGAAUAGAGCAAAAAGAGUUGGAUUUCAUAAGAGAAAAGUUUGAGACCUAAAAAAUAGAUUCAAGAGAUCAUUAUCAUAAGUGAAAUAAGAAUUCAGAAGUGAAAAAUGAAUACUCUAAAAGCAGUAUAAGACAGUGAAAUGGUAGAGUAAAAUUUUCCUGAGCUGAAGAAUGCCAUCAAAUAAGAUAUGCUGAAAUCAAAUUUCUGGUAUAAUCAAAUAGUGGUCAGAUUUUGAAUUCCAAGAACCAAAAGAAAACCAAGUUUCCAGAUAGAGUAAACAGACUUACCCUAAUGCAAAAAAGAUACCAGAUUGGCAUCUGAUUUUUCUUAUGCAGCACUGGAUACUAAGGAACAGUGGAAAAUUUCUAUAGAAUUCUGAGGUAAAAGUACUAUGAUCCUAAGGUUCUGUAUACAGGCAAAAUUGUUUUGAAGUAUUAAGACAAAUAUAAAAGAACUCUGAACUAUAACACUUACAAAUGAAUAUAUUAUUUGGAAGUACUUAAGCAAAAUGAAAUUAAUCAGAAUAGAGAAUUGUGGAUGGAAAAAAGAAAGAUAUACACUAAGUAUAGAUGAAUAAAAGCAAACAGUAAACCAAAACAGUCAAUGAAACUUUCGGUUAAGUCUAAAAACUUGUUGCUAAUGUACUUUGAUGUACAUUGAGAUAUAAUAUAAAAAGAGAAAAUAUUCCUAAUAAAAUGGAAGAUAUGAAAAAAUGACCAGUAGGAAAUAAGGUUUAGAUGUUUUAAUAAGAAUAAAACCUGGGCUUUGGCAGGUUAUGAGUGGAGGGAGGAAAGUAAAAGAAUAUUAUACAUAGUUUGCUUUGUAAAGUAUUUCUAUUUGUAGAACUACAGAAGUGGGUACUUUUUACUUUACUUAUGAAGGAAUAUAGAAAUCUUGAAAAUUUGAAGAGACUUUUGUUAAAAGAUGGCAGAGUAUCAGCUCUUUUCAAACUUCAUCACAUCUUUUUGAAACAACUAAAAAUGUAUUUUUUUUUUUUAAAGAAAAAUACAAUGGGCAGCAAGAAAGGGUGACAUUGGUAUAGCAAAUUUGGGGGAAUUCUGUGAAGAUAGAAAGUAGAUGGGAUGAGAGAGAGAGAAACAAGAGCAGAGAAAAAACUGCAAGUGAAACGGGUUAAGUUUUUCCUUGGUAGACUUCAAGAAACUCCCAUCUGUUUUAACAGUUUCAGAGGAUUCAAGUGGUCUGUGAUGUAAUCAUCAGAUUAAUUAAUUUAAGAACUGCCAGUACCAGCUGGACUCUUUUCUUCUUCAGUUGUACGGAAUGAUAAUCAGCAGUGGUAUUUGUCUCUAGGAUAGGAGACGUGGCUUCUGUUCUGCACGUGAUGAAUCUAGGAAAGGCUCCUGACUGUGGAUGCUGUGGUUGGAGAGAGUAGCAAAGUGGAGCCUGGAACUCAAAAGGAAGGAAAGGGAAGAUCAGUUCCAGGGAUGUGAAACACAGUAAAACAGUCUGCCCCAAAAGUGAAAUCUUCCUGUUGUUUGCAGUCUUGCAACAACCCGUUUUAUGACAUACAUUCUAAAUUAAAACUUCUUGAUAUGCUCUGCCCAGUCCACGUUCAUUCUGAAAUCAACGCGCUAAUUCAGGGAAGAUUCCUUCAGAAAGUGACAGACCUAUAGAUCUACAUUAGCAACCCUUGCUGUUUAGCUAACUCUGGGACACCAUUCACAAAUUUGGAAGACCAAUGAUUACCAGAAAACCAAAAAUAUGAGUAGGAGAUGAACUGAGAGAAAUUGACUCCUGGAAAAUGAGAAUGAUGCACGAUGUUGGUAGAACCUAAAUGUAAUUUGCAUCCUUAGAGAGUAAAGAUCAUAAAGCAGCUGAAAAAUUAAGUCAGCCUGUUCUGAAAGCAAUCUGCAGGGUUCUCAGAAACAAAAAAUAUUGCUAAAAUAAAAAACAUUCAAAGGAAGGGCUGAAAGGUGAAUGAAUUAUUUAGAAAUAAGAUUAAGGAAAUAGCCUAGAACCUGAAGUUUAAGAGAUGGAGAUUAGAAUAUGAGCAUUUGUUUAAGUUAAGUGGGACAUGGAACCACGUAUGUGUUCUGGGAAUGUGAGGGAGUGUUGAAUAUUACAGGAGGUCAGUGUAUACAGAUGUGAAAAGAUGGCCAAGAUACAUAAAGUGAAUAAGCACGUUGUGAGAAUAGUAUUUUAGUAUGUUUGUGAUCAUAAAUCAUACGCAUGUUUGAAUAUGAAUGAGAAAGAUGAAAGGACAUGAAUGAUCUCCUUUUGGGAAAAAGAUGGAGGGGUGAGAGAGGAAUACUUUUCAUUUUUCUUAAAACAUAAUGUUAUUUUAUAAGAAGUAUAUUUUUAUUUAAAUUAUGUUACCAAAAAUAAUGUUGAGCGAUAAGGAGAGCAAUGCAGGGAUUAACUAAAACACUAAUUUACACAUAGUCUCAAGUCCAUAAUUUUCUUUGUAGUGUACAAUUUUUCCUGUUACUUCUUAGCAACUGUCUCCUUCCCUUACUUCCUAGACUUUCAACUGAAGUGUAUUUUCACACACUUCUCUGAACCUUCUUUACCCAAGGUAUUGGGGCAGGGAGUGCUAAUUCCUUUGUUGCAUGUGAAUUUUAUGAGAGAGGAUAUAUAUAUGUGGAGAAUACCUUCAAGUAAGGAUAUUUUCUAGGUAUUCCUUUAUUAAUAUAGGGAAGUAUCAAUCCAACACCUUCUGUGGAAUGAGUCAGGAUGUAAACAAAUUAUGUUAAUGAUUAAUAAAGAGAAAAAUGGGAGAAUUCCAUAUUUAAGAUUUUGAAGUAUAUUCUGGUGGGAUUUUUGGGGGUGAGAGUAGGAAUUGCUCAAUAUCAGAACAGUAACAUGUGAGUAUAAUCACAGAGGUGUGAAGUGGUGAUCUGGACCCCCUGAAAGGCCCCGUCCUUUUUGUGAGGAGAUGGAUAUGAUCCUUGAUCUCAAUAUGCUACAUCUACUGUAAACCUCUGACCCCUCCACCACCACUGAGGAUGCUUCUCUAAUGGCUGAAGAAGCAGUGGAGGAUCACAUGAGAGAGUGCCUGAAGAUGCUUGCCUGGGACCAGUUAUGGGAAGAAAAGUCUUGCAGCAUGGACACUAGGAAAAGAGCUCUUUUAUUUCAUCUUGUCUUCCAGUCCAUUUUGAAUCAAAAAAGACUCACUGAAAACUCCUUUGAGAAGAGUGUUUUGAAGAAGGAAAAAGAAAUACUGUUGAGAGAAGUUGUGCAGACCAGAAGGGAGAUAGAAACAAAUGUUUUUGGUGUGUGUGUAACACCAGCAGGACUUCAUAGAACGUGGAGAACUGAGAAGAGAGAAAAUUAAGAAAUGACUGAAAAUUGUGGGGCCUGGUGGGAAAGUACUGGCCAUCUACUAAUGUGGAAAGGCAGUUGAUGCUUCAGUCCCAGGACUUUUUGUCUCUGCUGUGCAGUUAGCAUAAAUUCUUCUCACAUUCUGAACCGCCCCUUUAUCCUCUGUGAAUGAUGGAACUCUUACUUCUAUUUCAGCAGUGCUUCCAAGGAUGAAUGAAAAUAUAUAGUGUCUGCCAAAACCUGAAAAGUGUAGUCCAUUUACUUAUCACUAGAGCUUUGUAAGGUACCCCCUCCUGCAUUUUAAAUUUCUGUAGUUUGCAAAACCAGCCAUUGUACGGUGUUUGUUGGGGUUUUUUCUCUCUUUUUUUGUCAAUAAAUACUAGAUUGUCAACAUGAAAUAUAAUGAUUUUUCAUCAUUGUGGUCAGUUUUCUCCAAUUUGAUAUCCAUAGUCACCUUGGUGAAAACUAAGAUUUUAUUUUUUACACUUAACUACUUAUGCUGUUUUUGGUGUGUCACUGUAUGAGUUCCUGUUUUUCUCGAGAUUUUAACAGACCUUGACUUACUGCAUAUGUCAAAAUAAAAGUAUUUAAGUAGUAAA